UACGAAGGGGGCAAGCGUUGUUCGGAUUUACUGGGCGUAAAGCGCACGUAGGCGGAUCGAUCAGUCAGGGGUGAAAUCCCAGGGCUCAACCCUGGAACUGCCUUUGAUACUGUCGAUCUGGAGUAUGGAAGAGGUGAGUGGAAUUCCGAGUGUAGAGGUGAAAUUCGUAGAUAUUCGCAAGAACACCAGUGGCGAAGGCGGCUCACUGGCCCGGUACUGACGCUGAGGAGCGAAAGCAUGGGUAGCGAACAGG
rnacentral:rRNA from 1 species